UAUAUAAUUAAUAAAAACGUUUUUUUACUAAUAUACUAUAAAUGAAGUUAGCAUAAAAUGAUAAAGGUUUUUGAAUACCUUAUGCCGUCUUUGUAUUAAAUCAGUUUUAAUUUGCAAUUCAUCCAGUGAGCGUAGCCCAGCUGGCUACAGUACUUCGACUCGAUUCUUCAAAGCAUCAAUAAAUGGAAUGGCAUUCAAUAUAUUGUUUUAUAUUUAGAAUUAAAAUUUUAUUUAAAUAAAGACAAAUUAAAAAAAAAAUGC